rnacentral:rRNA from 1 species
GCUCAUCACAUCCUGGGGCUGGAGCAGGUCCCAAGGGUUUGGCUGUUCGCCAAUUAAAGUGGUACGUGAGCUGGGUUUAAAACGUCGUGAGACAGUUUGGUCCCUAUCUUUCGUGGGCGUAGGAUAUUUGAGAGGAUCUGUUCCUAGUACGAGAGGACCGGAAUGGACGAACCAAUGGUGUUCCAGUUGUCGCGCCAGCGGCAUUGCUGGGUAGCUAAGUUCGGAAUGGAUAACCGCUGAAAGCAUCUAAGCGGGAAGCCAACCUCGAGAUUAGAUAUCCCUCUGUAUGGAAACAUACAGACUGAAGACCCCUUGAAGACUACAAGGUUGAUAGGCCAGGUGUGUAAGCAUAGCAAUAUGUUUAGCUUACUGGUACUAAUAGGUCGUGAGGCUUAGUCAC